GCUCUUCUCUCUGCGUUUCAAUUCAUUUCUGAUCAGAACCGACACCGGCGAAACUCAAAGCGCUAAUGGCGUCGGCGUCGGCGUCUGCGUCCGUCGUAGCUCUUGCGCUAAGGGUUUUCAAAGGUAUGACUGCAUAUAUGGAGGAAGUGCAGAGAUGCUUGGGAUUUAAUAGCACAGCUUGCAUCAAUUUCGUGAUGACCGUGGUGAUUGCUGCUUCAUUUUUUGACACCGUCAUUGUUGGUGAGUUGAUUUUGAUUGAGAUUCGUGGAGGUGUAGUUGUGGUUUUAUCCUUUGGGCUGGUUUUAUCAUACACAAAGAGAAUGAAGAGGAAUGGUAGGAAGUUUGUAAGAUUUGUGCGGCGCUGCAGCUUGGCGGAGAUUGGGAAGGGACUUGUUAGGUGGCUGGUUUGGGCUUGGCACGCCUAUUUUUUCCUUAUUCAUUUGCUUAAGUUCCUCCUUGCUAUGGCUCGUCUUGGUGCUAGGAUUUGUGGAGCCCAACCACCAGGCACUGAGGCCAUACAUGAUGUUUCUGAAGCUUGGACUACACUUGUUACAUGAUACUGUCCUAACAUGAACUCGAGCACACCGGAUAGGCCGAUCUCAAUUCUGAUCCCUUCAUUCCUUCACGCGAUCUAUACUCACACUCUCAGUCUCUCACAGUAUCACUCAGACACUCACUGUUCCAAGCUUAGAACCCUAGAUCCCCAAUUCAUCAUUCAUCAAUUCGUCCUUUUGCUUUGUUGUUCCGAUCGGAUCUGAAGCAAGACUGCUCUGCUCUCUGAUCAGAGCAUGAAAGCACUGCAUCUAGCAAAACCAAUGUAUGUCCAGCUCCAAAUCCAAGAGCAAAAGGCAAGGGAAAGCUUGGGGCAGCUAGUAAUGUGAUAGAUGUUUGAACUUUGUUCAAUUCAUUUAGUUGUGACUGUUGUGUGCACAUUUUCAAUGAAGUGUCAGAUUGUGAACUGUAAUGGAUUAUAAAAUUAUGCAGAUUUGGUCUUCUUUCAGUUC